CGCGAGAUGGAGCAGUUGGUAGCUCGUCGGGCUCAUAACCCGAAGGCCGGAGGUUCAAAUCCUCCUCUCGCUACCA
rnacentral:tRNA from 1 species